rnacentral:rRNA from 1 species
AUACGGAGGGUGCAAGCGUUGUCCGGAUUUAUUGGGUUUAAAGGGUGCGUAGGCGGCGUAAUAAGUCAGUGGUGAAAGCCGGCAGCUCAACUGUCGAGGUGCCAUUGAAACUGUUAUGCUUGAGUACAGACGAGGUAGGCGGAAUUUAUGAUGUAGCGGUGAAAUGCAUAGAUAUCAUAAAGAACACCGAUAGCGAAGGCAGCUUACUAGGCUGUAACUGACGCUGAGGCACGAAAGCGUGGGGAGCGAACAGGAUUAGAAACCCCAGUAGUCC